rfam:Ictidomys tridecemlineatus contig115395, whole genome shotgun sequence.
UGGGUUGUGGCUCAGUGGUAGAGCACUCGCCUAGCACAUGUGAGGCCCUGGGUUUGAACCUCAGCACCACAU